UUAAUUGAAGCCAAAGAUAGAGGCAUCUUAUUGUUAAUAAGAAAAAUGUUUUUCCAAUUAAA
rnacentral:tRNA from 2 species